rnacentral:snRNA from 1 species
GUGCUCAGCCCAGCAGAACCUAUAUUAAAAUUGGAACACCACUGAAAAGAUUAGCAUGUCCCCU